rnacentral:rRNA from 1 species
AUGAACUCGCUCCAAUCCUUCCUCGCCGUCGCGCCCGUCAAGCCGGCCGCGGCCGCCGCGAGGCUCCCGUCGUCCCGGCGGGCGCGCGUCUCCGCCUGCCUCGCGACCCCGGCGCCCGCGCCGACCGCCCCCGCGGCGGCGACCUCGGCGCGGCGGGAGCUGUCCGCGGCGAGCCGGGCCGUCAUGGCGGACGAGGCCAAGUACAUCGUGGGCACCUACAAGCGCGCCCAGGUCGUCUUCGUGGCCGGGCGCGGCUGCAAGCUCUACGACAUCGACGGGCGCGAGUACCUCGACAUGGCCGCCGGCAUCGCCGUCAACGCCCUUGGCCACGGCGACCCCGACGUGGAUGCCGCCGCCGCGGACCAGCGCGGACGCCUGGUCCACGCCAGCAACGUCGGCUACACCGUGCCGCAGGUGGAGCUCGCCAAGCGGCUCGUGGAGGCCUCCUUCGCUGACCGUGCCUUCUUCGCCAACUCCGGCACUGAGGCCAACGAGGCGGCCAUCAAGUUCUCCAGGAAGUACCAGAGGGUCGCGCACCCCAACGGUGACGCGCCUACGGAGUUCAUGUCCUUCACCAACUGCUUCCAUGGCCGGACCAUUGGCUCGCUCGCGCUGACCAGCAAGGUGCAGUACAGGGAGCCCUUUGAACCGGUCAUGCCCGGCUCAACAUUUGCAGAGUAUGGCAAUUUGGAGGAGGCCAAGAAGGUGAUACAGUCGGGGAAGAUUGCUGCUGUGUUUGUCGAGCCCGUGCAGGGUGAGGGUGGGAUUCACAGUGCUACCAAGGAGUUCUUGCAGGGACUGCGGGAUGCUUGUGAUGAGGCAGGGGCUCUCUUGGUCUUUGACGAGGUGCAAUGUGGUCUGGGGCGCACAGGUUACCUCUGGGCUCAUGAGGUUUAUGGUGUAGUACCUGACAUAAUGACCUUGGCGAAGCCACUGGCCAAUGGCCUUCCCAUUGGCGUCGCCUUGGUCACGGAAAAGGUUGCUGCAGCCAUAAAUUACGGUGACCAUGGAACCACAUUCGGCGGAGGCCCUUUUGUGUGCCAUGCUGCAUUAGCCACAUUGGACAAGAUCCAGAAACCUGGCUUUCUAGCAGAGGUGACCAGGAAAGGAGAAUACUUCAAGCAGCUGCUCAAAGCUAAGCUGAGUGGAAACCCUCAUGUCAAAGAGAUCCGUGGGGCCGGUCUCAUCGUUGGCAUCGAGCUUGACGUACCGGCUGGGCCUUUGGUCGAUGCAUGCUUGAAUGCUGGUGUCUUUUUGCUGACGGCCGGGAAAGGCAAUGUGGUGAGGCUUGUGCCUGCGCUCAUCGUGUCGGAGAAGGAGCUGGAGCAAGCUGCAGAGGCGAUAAGGGAAUGUCUACCUGCUCUUGAUGCCUCUACCUCUUAG